rnacentral:rRNA from 1 species
UACAGAGGUCUCAAGCGUUGUUCGGAUUCAUUGGGCGUAAAGCGCACGUAGGCGGAUUCUUAAGUCAGGGGUGAAAUCCUGGAGCUCAACUCCAGAACUGCCUUUGAUACUGGGAAUCUCGAGUCCGGGAGAGGUGAGUGGAACUGCGAGUGUAGAGGUGAAAUUCGUAGAUAUUCGCAAGAACACCAGUGGCGAAGGCGGCUCACUGGCCCGGUACUGACGCUGAGGUGCGAAAGCGUGGGGAGCAAACAGG